CGGGAAUUAUUUGGGCGUAAAGAGCUCGUACGGCGGUUUGUCGCGUCUGUCGUGAAAGUCCCGGGGCUUAACCCCGGAUCUGCGGUGGGUACGGGCAGACUAGAGUGCAGUAGGGGAGACUGGAAUUCCUGGUGUAGCGGUGGAAUGCGCAGAUAUCAGGAGGAACACCGAUGGCGAAGGCAGGUCUCUGGGCUGUAACUGACGCUGAGGAGCGAAAGCAUGGGGAGCGAACAGGAUUAGAUACCCUGGUAGUCCAUGCCGUAAACGUUGGGCACUAGGUGUGGGGACCAUUCCACGGUUUCCGCGCCGCAGCUAACGCAUUAAGUGCCCCGCCUGGGGAGUACGGCCGCAAGGCUAAAACUCAAAGGAAUUGACGGGGGCCCGCACAAGCGGCGGAGCAUGCGGAUUAAUUCGAUGCAACGCGAAGAACCUUACCAAGGCUUGACAUGUUCUCGAUCGCCGUAGAGAUACGGUUUCCCCUUUGGGGCGGGUUCACAGGUGGUGCAUGGUUGUCGUCAGCUCGUGUCGUGAGAUGUUGGGUUAAGUCCCGCAACGAGCGCAACCCUCGUUCCAUGUUGCCAGCACGUCGUGGUGGGGA
rnacentral:rRNA from 1 species